rnacentral:rRNA from 1 species
UACGUAGGGUGCGAGCGUUAAUCGGAAUUACUGGGCGUAAAGCGUGCGCAGGCGGUUGUGCAAGACAGAUGUGAAAUCCCCGGGCUCAACCUGGGAAUUGCAUUUGUGACUGCACGGCUAGAGUGUGUCAGAGGGGGGUAGAAUUCCACGUGUAGCAGUGAAAUGCGUAGAGAUGUGGAGGAAUACCGAUGGCGAAGGCAGCCCCCUGGGUCAAGAUUGACGCUCAUGUACGAAAGCGUGGGGAGCAAACAGG